GACGAACGCUGGCGGCGUGCUUAACACAUGCAAGUCGAGCGAUGAAGUUCCUUCGGGAAUGGAUUAGCGGCGGACGGGUGAGUAACACGUGGGUAACCUGCCUCAUAGAGGGGAAUAGCCUUUCGAAAGGAAGAUUAAUACCGCAUAAGAUUGUAGUAUCGCAUGGUACAGCAAUUAAAGGAGUAAUCCGCUAUGAGAUGGACCCGCGUCGCAUUAGCUAGUUGGUGAGGUAACGGCGCACCAAGGCGACGAUGCGUAGCCGACCUGAGAGGGUGAUCGGCCACAUUGGGACUGAGACACGGCCCAGACGCCUACGGGAGGCAGCAGUGGGGAAUAUUGCACAAUGGGGGAAACCCUGAUGCAGCAACGCCGCGUGAGUGAUGACGGUCUUCGGAUUGUAAAACUCUGUCUUCAGGGACGAUAAUGACGGUACCUGAGGAGGAAGCCACGGCUAACUACGUGCCAGCCGCCGCGGUAA
rnacentral:rRNA from 1 species